GGCUGGUCCUAAGAUAGCGAGUUAUCAAUUGAUCAAAGUCAGUUACAGAUUGAACUCCUUGUUCUGCUCUUCCCCCUUCUCACUACUGCACUUGACUAGUCCAAA
rnacentral:Y_RNA from 1 species